UGGGGAAUUUUGGACAAUGGGCGAAAGCCUGAUCCAGCAAUGCCGCGUGAGUGAAGAAGGCCUUCGGGUUGUAAAUCUCUUUUGUCAGGGAAGAAACGGUGAGGGCUAAUAUCCCUUGCUAAUGACGGUACCUGAAGAAUAAGCACCGGCUAACUACGUGCCAGCAGCCGCGGUAAUACGUAGGGUGCAAGCGUUAAUCGGAAUUACUGGGCGUAAAGCGUGCGCAGGCGGUUUUGUAAGUCUGAUGUGAAAUCCCCGGGCUCAACCUGGGAAUUGCAUUGGAGACUGCAAGGCUAGAAUCUGGCAGAGGGGGGUAGAAUUCCACGUGUAGCAGUGAAAUGCGUAGAUAUGUGGAGGAACACCGAUGGCGAAGGCAGCCCCCUGGGUCAAGAUUGACGCUCAUGCACGAAAGCGUGGGGAGCAAACA
rnacentral:rRNA from 1 species